UACGAAGGGUGCAAGCGUUACUCGGAAUUACUGGGCGUAAAGCGUGCGUAGGUGGUUUGUUAAGUCUGUUGUGAAAGCCCCGGGCUCAACCUGGGAAUGGCAAUGGAUACUGGCAGGCUAGAGUGCGGUAGAGGGUAGUGGAAUUCCCGGUGUAACGGUGAAAUGUGUUGAUAUCGGGAGGAACACCCAUGGCGAAGGCAGCAGACUGGGCAUCACCUGACGCUGAGGCGCGAAAGCGUGGGUAGCAAACAGG
rnacentral:rRNA from 1 species